AUAGGCCCCAUAAUAGUGGUCAUCACACAAUUAAGUCUUGCUACACGUCACAAUUUGAACAACAUUUGUGGGCUGUUAUUGGUCUUCCACUUGGUGAGCCAUCAAUGAAAACUCCUGCUGCUGUCAUGUACAAUAUACUGGGUGAAGAUGAGGGGUGAGCCUGGUUUAUUUUAGGGCAUUGAGUAUUCCUGGGGCUACUGUUCAUUGGUAUGACAAGCCAGAAAUGUGAAAGCAGAGAAAGAUGGGCCAUGUCACAAUUGUUGGGCCUUCCAUGGGUGAUGUGGAAGAACGAUUAAAAUCAAUUCUGAGGGAAGAAGGUUCUGAUUGUCAGUCUGCACU